rnacentral:tRNA from 1 species
GGCCCGUAGCUCAGCCUGGUAGAGCGGCGGGCUCUUAACCCGUAGGUCCCGGGUUCAAAUCCCGGCGGGCCCGC